rnacentral:lncRNA from 1 species
AAUGUCAUCAGAGGAUAAGACUGUGGAGCCCUCUGACCAGGGGCCCUCGCUGCCCUCUGUUAGUGCAGGGGCCACGUCCACAGGAAGCCCUGCCCAGACAGACAAGCGCCCCAGGGGCAGACCUCGCAAGGAUGCUACCACCACCAUCGUACCCCAGGCUCCACCCACAACUACAUCCAAGACCAGGAAGAAGGGGCGUACCAGAGGUAGAGUGGUUGUGGAGGAGGAGGACAGCAGCAUGGACGGGACGGAGGCAGCCGCCUCAGGGAGCCCCCCUCAGGACACAACAGAUACACCAGCCCAGCAGCCUGUGGAGAGUGUGGAGGUGGGUGCCACUGAAGGACCAGAGGAGGGGGAAGAGAAGCCCUCUUCUCCCCAGGUCCAGAGCCCUCAGACUAGUGAAGCAGCUGAGCUUUCUGGUCCUAUCACCAACAGAGGAGUUAAAAGCAGGUCAGUCUGAGAGUUCCAUCACAGAAAGUUUGGCUAUGAGGGGUGGAUCUGUGUUUAUGUACGGUGUAUACUGAUUAAUGUGAUACUUUUGGUCAUGUAGUGUAUGUGGACACCUGCUUGUCGAACAUCUCAUUCCAAAAUCAUGGGCAAUUAGUG